UUACGGUCAAAUCACGCUGAAAACACCGGUUCUCGCUAGAUCACCGAAGUUAAGUAUCGUAGAGCCAGGUCAGUACUUAGAUGGGGACCGCUUGGGAACACCUGGUACUGAAA
rnacentral:rRNA from 1 species